GCUGCCCCUAGUUACCCAACUAAAGGAAGUGUAUCAGAGAAAAGAGGUUCUGAAAGUUAACAAAUUUUAUAGAGCUGAUGUGAAUAAAGAGAGAAAUUGCAGGAAAAUCAUGAUUUCUUUUCUGAUUGAUGUCAUUAUAAACCCCAGCUGUUACAGAUUAUUAAAAAGAUAUAAGUUGUUAUUCCAGACUGUAGCAGGAAGUUAAACUAUGAUCUUGUAACUUAAGUACCAAAAUUUUGAGUGUUAUGACAUUUGUACCUUGUCGCAGUUUAUUGACUAUAAAUAAUUAUCUAGAUAUGACAGGGUGUGAAUUUUACAUAGACACCGGGAUUUCAAUUCACAUUUUCAUUUUUCAGAUAUAAAUCUACUAUUACUUUUUCCCUGAAAGUUAGAAGGUGUUAUUUAUGUUUUGUUUUUUUUUCAUUCAUUUUAUUGUGUCACUUUAAAAAGUGGACUGUAUGCAAUGUCAAAAAAGAAACUUUCAGUAAACACAAAGUAACAGUUGUGCAUUUUUCAUUGGAAAUACCCUUAUAAUUAAUUGGAAUUUUGAGUUUUUGGCAGGGACAAAAAUGCCUGGAGACAGAGAUGGAAUACAAGAGCUGAGAGUCAGCGAGGCAGUGACAUCAUUGAAUGAGCAAAGCAUUGUAAUGGUAACAGAGAUGGACGAACAUGGAGAACAUUUAGAUGAAGAGGAGAAGGCUGUUUUUGUCCCUACUACAACAACAGCUUUUAUUAACAUUGAAGGUAUGAGUAAUUAUUUUGAAUAUAGGAGUCUUU